AUGCAGGUGAGCGGCGGCGCCCGGGGAGCGAAGACUCUGGCCGGCGACGUGAACCCAAGCUUCGACAGCUUGCCGUUUCCCUCUGUGUUCAUCGCCGCUUCGGCGAAUCGUCUCCUCUUUCUCCGCUGCCGUGGCGCCGGUGCCCACCACCUGUUCGACGGGAUGCCUGAGACGCGCACCGACAGGAAGCAAAAGGAAGCGGACGCGGAGGACCACAUCAGCGCACUCCCGGACGCGAUCCUCGAGCAGGUGCUGUCGCUCCUCCCCGCCCACGAGGCCGUGCGUUCGUGCGUGCUCUCGCGCCGCUGGCGCGUGCUCUGGAAGUCCGUGACCAACCUGCGCAUCACCGACGCCGGCAGCUGGAGCAGCGCCGCCAAGUUCAACAGGUCGUCAACUUCAUGCUGCUCUUGCGCCCCGCCUGGAGCCUGCGCGAGGUCGAGCUCUGCACGUUUCCGGCGCAACAUGCUCGACCCUUUCCCUUUGUCCACACCAAGGAGCCGGGUCCUUGUCAGCCCAACAACCGAACCGCUGCGGCUCGUCGCGGUGCCUCUGAUCUCCCGGUACUUGACGACCCUGCAGCUUCAGUGUGUAGAGCUGGACGACGAUGCCUUGGAUUUCUCGAGCUGUCCUGUGUUGGAGGAUCUAAAGGUGAGCUUAUGCAUAAUUUCUGCUCAGAGGAUGUCAUCGCACUCGCUCAAGCACCUCUGUGUCGCUGAAUGUAGCAUUGCAUCGGAUUUCCGCACACGGAUUUCUACCCCGGGUCUUGUUUCGCUGCGCCUGAGUGUUCAGUGCUGGCGGGCUCCUCUGCUUGAAAGCAUGCCAUUACUAGUAACAGCAUAUGUCAAAAUUAGCCCCCUCCUGCUAGAUCAUCGAUGGUUUGGCUACCAUGGAGAUAGCACUUCUGAUAAUCCUGAUGGCAGUGGAAAGUGUGUGCUCCUUAGCGGUUUGAUCAAUGCUACGCAUUUGGAGUUGGAAGCUGCAGAUGGAGUGCAUAUUUUCAAGCUAGACUUGGCAUGCUGCCCUAUAUUCAACAAGUUAAAGACCUUGCUAGUCAAUGAGUGGGUUGUUGGUCGUGACUUUUGUGCACUACUUUGCUUUCUUCAACACACACCAGUUUUAGAGAAGCUCAUUAUUCUACUGCACGAGGAUCAAAAGCCUAUGAUGAAUAUGGGAGAAAGUCACCUUCAAUCUCUACGCCUUAAAACUGUUGAAUUCAGAUGCACAAAGGUUGAUGAAAGUGGUUCACAUUUGUUCAAAGAUGCUGACUCUUGA
rnacentral:rRNA from 1 species